rnacentral:lncRNA from 1 species
CCCCUGCUCCCUCUACUCUUUCUUCUUCGAGAUGAAGAAAACCCUAACUUCAAAACACUAGUCACCAGCUUCACUUUCUGUUUCCCUCUCUCGUGACCGAGCAGCGGCGAUCGGAGAAGCUCCGAUGAACACCCACCUAAACCCACCUCCUCUCUUUCACACUCUUACACUGUAACCCCUCUCUCCCCCUCGCGACAGACCGGCAGCGACGAGAUCUCCGACAAACCCACAUCCACUCUGUCUCGUUUUCUCCGACACCGACACCGGCAACGACACCCCCCCACUGUCUCUUGCAACUCCGACGACCAGAGUAUACGUCAGCCAUUAAUCGGAGAGGUGACUAUGAUGAUGAUGAUACGAUCACGAUGAUCAUGAUAGGCUGAUGUUGGUGAUAGAUUGAUAUGAUAACAGAGAUGUUGGUGGCGGAUCGGAGGCGCCGACGACUGUGAGGCGCCGUUUUUCCGAAAACGCCGCCGCCGGCGGUGGUCGAGCCGGCCAACAACAGUAGUAGGCGUGGUGGCCAAAGUCAGAUUUCAGCUCAGGCUUCAGCUCACCACGGUGCAAUUCAGGUCAGUUCCGAGUUUUGGUUUGGGCCUCGGUCAAAAUAGGUCAACUGUUAGUCAACAGGUCAACACCAGUCAAACAUCAUCUCGGGUCACUUUCAAGCAUGCGGUUUAGUUUGGUUCGGGUUCGGUUCACUUCAAAUUUGUUUCGGUUCAACCGAUCCAGAUUCGGUUCAGUCAACACGGGUCUAGGUUCGAGUCAACUCAAUCAAACGGGGUGACCCGGUCAACACUCGGUCAACAGCAGUCAACGCCCGGUCAACUCACGAGACCCGAUGCACGCUAGCUAAUUCACGUUCUUGGAACGGCACUACGGAAUCACACUAAGCUAGCUUUGCACAGGAAUAUCCAGGUUAAAUUUUUCAAACUACGGAACGGUUGGAAUAGGAGAACCCAUGGGAUUUCGAGCACUUAACAGGCGUUCAAUUUCUAGAAGUCUUAGCAUUAUUAGCUUCCGCUGUGCAAUGAAGAUACCGGUCCAGUCACGCCAGCUCUAUAUUUCGGGGUGUGACACAACUGUCCGCUGGAACUAAACCAGCCACUGGUUUGCAGAGACUAGAAUACACUAGAUUUGUAACUCUUUUCAGGAUGUGAACCGAUUGAGAGCAGGAUCUGGUCGGGAUUUGUCAGAUCUACCCAAAUCCUGAAAGUGAGGCGUUGUUUGUUCCGACCAAACCACCUCCCACCACCGUCAUCUGCCACCGACCACCACCUCCCCACCACCGUCUUCCCCACCAACCACCACCCCACCACGGUCUUGAACAUGAUUCUGUGUGUUUGAAGAUGAGAGAUGAGGGUUUCAGUAGAGAGAGUAGAGAGAGAUGAUUGAAGUUGCAGGUUUGAUUUUGAAUGAGGGGUUCAAUGGCGAUUGGCCGGAGACGAUGAGGGUGGGUGACCGAGAGCUUAAAAGGAAGUUGCAAGUUUGAUUUUGAAUGAGGGGUUCAACCACCACCCUUUUCUCUCAUGAAGAUGAAGGUGGUGUUUUGAGACAAAUGAAGAAGACAGAGGUUUUAAAAAGGGGGAGAGAGAGAUGGUGAGCAUUAAAUAAAGAGAGAGAGAGGGUGUGAAUUAAAUGAAGAGAGAGGGUGGGAUUAGACAUUUGGGGUAAAUGACCAAACUACCCUUUUCGUUGGCAAAAUAUGAUUGGUGGAGAGUGGUUCUCAUGGUUCUUACAACUGGAGGUAACAAAAUGUGAAAGCCAAAUAGAAGCCAGCUGGACAGCACUGAAGGCUUGGAAAAGUGGCAAUAGAGUUACCUAAAAGAAAUAGAUGUUUUUCUUAAAUAAAAAUAGGAUUUGUUCCUAUGAAAAUGUGUGUACUGAAAACUUGGUUUUACCCAUGUGUUUAAUGUUAUGGAAAUGUGGUAUU